GACGAGCGCUGGCGGCGUGCUUAACACAUGCAAGUCACGGGGGCCGGUAGCAAUAUCGGCGAACCGGCGAACGGGUGCGUAACACGUGAGCAAUCUGCCGAUCUCUGGGGGAGUAGCCGGCCCAACGGCCGGGUAAUACCGCAUACGCUCAUCGGGGGACGAUCCCCUCGGUGAGGAAACCUCCGGGGGAGAUCGAGGAGCUCGCGACCUAUCAGCUAGUUGGCGAGGUAAUGGCNCACCAAGGCUACGACGGGUAGCUGGUCUGAGAGGAUGGCCAGCCACAUUGGGACUGCGACACGGCCCAGACUCCUACGGGAGGCAGCAGUGGGGAAUAUUGCGCAAUGGACGAAAUCUGACGCAGCGACGCCGCGUGUGGGAUGAAGCUCUUCGGGGUGUAAACCACUGUUGCCAGGGAAGAAACUCCUG
rnacentral:rRNA from 1 species